rnacentral:rRNA from 1 species
UACAGAGGUCCCGAGCGUUGUUCGGAUUCACUGGGCGUAAAGGGCGCGUAGGCGGCCUUCUAAGUCGAACGUGAAAUCCCCGGGCUCAACCGGGGAACUGCGUCUGAUACUGGGUGGCUUGAAUCCGGGAGAGGGAUGCGGAAUUCCAGGUGUAGCGGUGAAAUGCGUAGAUAUCUGGAGGAACACCGGUGGCGAAGGCGGCAUCCUGGACCGGCAUUGACGCUGAGGCGCGAAAGCCAGGGGAGCAAAGCGGG